rnacentral:rRNA from 1 species
UACAGAGGUGGCAAGCGUUGUUCGGAAUUACUGGGCGUAAAGGGCGCGUAGGCGGUCUUCUAAGUCUUGUGUGAAAUCCCUCGGCUCAACUGAGGAACUGCACGGGAUACUGGAAGACUUGAGUUCGGGAGAGGGAAGCGGAAUUCCGGGUGUAGCGGUGAAAUGCGUAGAUAUCCGGAGGAACACCGGUGGCGAAGGCGGCUUCCUGGCCCGUACCUGACGCUGAGGCGCGAAAGCGUGGGGAGCAAACAGG